CUCCUUUACCAACAUGGCGCCGCACGGCUUCCGUCGAGGAUCACGUGAUCGCACAUAUAGGAAGUGACGUGACGGCAGCUAGUUCGGGAAGAUGUCGCGGGCGGGCAAGAGUGCUGUUGUCUUGUGCUGGGAUGUGGGCUGUACAACAAACAAUAUGUCUCUGGAGGAGGACAGUGCCUUUGAACAAGCAAAGAAAGUUUUGCUGAUGUUUGUUCAACGUCAGCAGGCAGAGAAGAUGCGGUUGAGUGAGGGAGCCAUGGUUCUCGAGAGAGG